rnacentral:lncRNA from 1 species
UGCACCAACCCCACCAACCACACCAACCUCACCAACUACACCAACCACACCAACCUCUUCAAGGCCAUUAUAAAUACCUGGUUACGCACAAGGAUGAGGUACGCCUAAACUCUUACAAAACUCUACAGAAGUUAUUUCUCAAAAACUCUAGCCACCCCCUCUCUUUCUCUCUCUCACACAAGGCUCCGGCCACCACACACGGCUCCGGCCAUCCGGUUUUCCUUGAAUUACCCUACCUAACUUAGGCAUCGGAGGGCCUUUGGCCAACACCCCCCGGGUGUGGUCCUUUUACUCUGAUCUGUUUUGCAGGGAGAAAGAGAGGCGGAGAAGACGAAGGAAUAUUGAGCGAAUAUUCUCCCGUGAGAUUAUUUGCACAAACAAAUUGGUGCUUUCAUUGAGAGCGCGAGUUAUACUCAACGCGUGCUCAAGGAAUCCGUUCCUCCUAUUUUCCAAUCCGCCGAAGCCUUCCAAACAACCAUGGUUGGAAGCAUGAACACGAGAGGCAAAGCCGCCGCGAUGGCUAGAUCCGCGACGACCCAAAGCCACUCCACCCGCGAUCCCGCGAUCGACAUGGUGGCACCGCCACCUCUCACCACCGCCGCCGAACAUGGUGGAACUUCCAAUCAAGGUGGACUCGUUACCACCGCCGACCUAGGGCCGGUCUUGGAACAACUCCAAGCAUUCCCUCCAUUGCCUCCACGCGCGACGCACGCUCCUGCAUACACCUUCAGUGAAAACCUAGCCCGUGUGCAGUUGGGCUCCGCACACUUCUCUCCUCCCGAUCCACGAAGUCAAGCAGACCUUAAUCUAAGAGUUGACCAGCUAGCUCAGAGAAUGGACGACCAAAGCGAUCUAAUGAGGCAGCUCAUCAACCAAAUAGGCUUUGCUCAAAACCUUGGCCUUGGACAACCGGGCGAGGAGAGAAGGAUGGACGAACGCGCCGGCAGACGACUCGACGUCCGUGCCCGCUUGGGCCCGCAGGGAAAUGUACAUCAAAGGCUAGGCCCCCAAGGAAGUCAGCUAAACAACCAUCGCAACGAGGAUCGCGAAGAAAGGCGCUCAGCUGUCAACUCACAGAGAAGCGCUCUCGAAAGGCUAGGCCCUCAGGGAGGCCAGUUGGACAACCCUCACAAUGAGGACCAUGAGGAAAGACGCUCCGUUACUCACUCUCGAAGAACUAAUUCUCGUCGACAAGCUACAGAGAAUCUUUCGCAGGCGCAGUCCACCCACACUCCAACUAGGCAGCCCAGGCGAGAAGGUCGACCCUCGGAGGACAACGAGGAAGUCAGUCAAUAUCGUGGAGGUCGCCAACGUGACCGACCAGCAAUGUGCGCAGAAGACGUUGAGAAGCUCGUGAAUGACCGACUUCGGGACUUAAAGACCGGAGGAAACUUCGAGGAUUCACUACGUAAGGAGAUGGACCAGGUGAGCUCUACGCCUUUCACCCUCGAUAUCGAGCAGGCCGCUCACCCGAAGCGAUUCUCGACGCCCUCGUUCAUACACUUCAAAGGGGAUUCCGAUCCCGAGAGCCACUUGAAACACUUCAAAAGUGUUAUGAUCCUCCACCAGGCUGACGACGCGCUAAUGUGCAAGGUAUUUACGAUAACCUUGCGAGGAGCAGCCCAAGACUGGUUCCACACCCUACCAUCCAGGUCGAUCAGCAGCUUCAAGGAGCUAGCCUACGUCUUCACCAAAGAAUACACGUCUUACCGGACAAUCAAGAAGAACCCUGAUCACCUGUACAACCUGCGCAAGAAGUCUGACGAAUCCCUUCGAGAUUACAUCAAGAGAUUCAAGGCAGAAAAGGCGAACAUUGUAGGAUGUGACGACCGAAUCGCGUCCUCCGCUUUCAAGAAAGGUCUUCCAGCUGAGCACGACUUGUACCGCGAGCUGACUAUCACUCCCAGCCAGACUCUGGCAGAGGUCUACGCGACUGCGGAACGCUACGCGCUCUGGGAUGACGAUCGAAUCGCCGCGAAGAAGUCUACAAAGCAGGAAGAUCAGCCAACUAAGCGGGCAGGCCAAAAAGGCGACGGAUUCAACAACCGAAACAAAGACAAGCGCAGGUCGCACUCACAAGGGGAGGCUACGGCAGGAGAGAACUACACCAAGUUCACCAUCCCCAUACAUCAAAUCUUAGCCCAAGUGAAGAACAAACCUUGGGUAAGAAGACCACUGCCCUUGAAGGGAGAUCCGGACAAGAGGGACACUAGCAAAUACUGUGCCUUCCACGGGACGCACGGACACACGACGAACAACUGCUUCGCUUGGAAAGCGCAUCUUGAGGAACUCGUGAGAGAAGGCCACUGCACUGAAUUCGUUGCGAAGCAGGCCAUCCAACGGAUUGAGGAUCGAGACAUCGCCAAGGAGCCGCCUCAGAAGGUCAUAAGGAUUAACACAAUCCUAGCCGACUCUGAGGAGUCUGGGCUGACCAGCAAGGAAAAGAAGAGGCAGAUCAAACAGGCCACUGUGAUCUCCCAAGUCUCGACCGACCUUCCACUAGCAGGAGACGAUCCUAUGAUCGGCUUCCAAAAGAAAGAUCUGAUCGGCCUCGACACGCCGCAUAACGACGCCCUUGUCAUCAGUAUUCAAAUCGCUCAGGCCAUGGUCGACCGAAUCCAUGCAGAUGAAGGCAGCGCAGCCAAUAUCCUACAACUGACAGUCAUCCAACAGAUGGGCUUGGAGACAAAGAUCAACAAGUUAGCCAGAUCGCUGACUGGCUUUAAUGGUGCAACAACGGUUACCGUGGGCACAAUAGACCUCGAUGUCUACUCCCCACCUGUGGUCAGCUUGCAAACAUUCAUGGUCAUCAAUGAGGUCUCACCUUACAACGGCAUCCUAGGCAGACCAUGGAUUGGCAAGAUCAAUGCCAUCACCUCCGCCACGCAUCAGAAAAUUCGGUACCCAAUCCCUGGGGGCGGUGUCGGCCAAAUCAACAGCGAUCAAGCAAUGGCGAGGAAAUGUUCCGCCCAAGGGCUGAAGAAAGGCAAACAAGCGCAGUUUCUCCCUGUGAGCCAGGCGGAUCUGGAGGAGGUUGAGCAACCGAAUCUUGCUAUUUUAUAGCAAUCAAAGUGUCAGGACCAAGCCGAGGAAAUCCGUCCAGAGGUCUUUCCGGAAGAAGGAUGGAAACCCGAGGAGGACGUCGAGUUAAUACCCUUGGAUCCUGACCAGCCAGACAGGAAAGCGCGGAUCGGCUCGCGCUUAAGCCCAGAAGAGAAGGAGGAGCUUACCACAUUCCUCCAGAGCAACAAAGACAUGUUCGCAUGGUCGCCAUCAGACAUGCCUGGCAUCGACCCAAAAAUCAUCUGUCAUCGACUCCACGUCAACCCCGCGUGCAAGCCAGUGGCGCAAAAGAGACGCAACUUCGCACCCGAGCGAGUCGCUAUCAUCGAAGCCGAGAUUGACAAACUCCUAGCUGCCGGCUUCGUCGAAGAGGUCUCCUACUCAGAAUGGCUUGCCAACGUUGUCUUGGUGGCAAAACAAGAAAAGGGCAAAUGGAGAGUUUGCGUCGACUACACAGACCUCAACAAGGCAUGCCCUAAAGACAACUUCCCAUUGCCGAGAAUCGACCAACUCGUGGAUUCCACUUCUGGCAAUCAGCUGCUCAGCUUCAUGGACGCCUACUCCGGCUAUAACCAAAUCCUGAUGCACGAGGAUGACAAGGCGAAAACUUCUUUCAUCAUCGAGAGAGGGACCUACUGCUACAAGGUCAUGCCCUUUGGGCUGAAGAACGCCGGAGCAACCUAUCAAAGGCUUGUAAAUAAAAUCUUCAAGGAGCAAAUCGGCAAAACUAUGGAGGUCUACGUAGAUGACAUGCUGGUCAAAGCCCCAAAACGUGCAGAUCACAUUGGAAAUCUUGCUGAGUCAUUUAGCUUGCUCCGCCAGUAUCGCAUGAAGUUGAAUCCAAGUAAAUGCACGUUUUGUGUAUCCUCCGGCCGAUUCUCAGGAUACCUAGUCACGCAACGAGGCAUCGAGGCACACCCACGCCAAAUCAAAGCCAUUCUCGAGAUGAAAUCGCCCUCAACGGUGAAGGAAAUAUAAAGUCUGAUGGGCAGAGCAGCGGUCCUCAACCGAUUCCUCUCGAGAUCAACUGACAAGUGCAGACCAUUCUUCAAAGCUUUGAAGAAAGGACAAAGAGACAAAUGGGACGAGGAGUGCGAAGUAGCUUUCCAGAGUCUGAAGACUUACCUCGCCUCACCUCCUCUACUCUCAAAACCAGUCCCUGGUGAGGACUUGUUUGUAUACCUGGCAGUGUCCAACUCAGCUAUCAGUUCAGCUCUCAUCCGAGAAGAGCUGGGGGCCCAACAUCCGGUAUUCUACACGUCAAAAGCUCUCCUCAAUGCAGAAACUCGCUACCCGAAGUUGGAGAAACUUAUUUUGGCUCUUGUAGUUUCUGGGAGAAAGCUGCGACCCUACUACCAAGCUCAUCGAGUCAUCGUCAUGACCGACUUUCCUUUGAGAUCAAUCCUCCACAGCCCUGAUGUUUCUCAGCGACUCAUGAAGUGGGCUAUAGAGCUAAGCCAAUAUGACCUCCUCUACCGGCCAAAAACUGCAAUAAAAGCCCAGGCUUUAGCAGACUUCGUCGUAGAAUUCACCCCGUCAGUCGAAAAGGAGAAGUUGGUCAACCAAAAGAAGGAAAGUUCAAAAGCAGACGGGACCUCCGCAGAACCUAGCCAACCAGUUGCGCGUAGACGGAGCGUCGAACCAAAAAGGAGCCGGAGCAGGGGUCGUCAUCACCACUCCAGAUGGAACCCUGUUGGAGCAAGCUAUUACGCUUGGCUUCCCGGCCUCGAACAACGAGGCAGAAUACAAGGCAUUGCUCGCCGGCCUACGCUUGGCAAAAGAGCUCGCAAUCAAAAAGCUAGCCAUCUAUUCAGACUCACAAUUGAUCAAGAAUCAAGCCUCAGGUGAAUACAUGGCAAAGCACCCAAGGAUGAUCUUGUACCUUGACAAAGUCCAAGAGCUGUUAAAGGCAUUUCCCUCCUUCACCAUCCAACAAGUGCCCCGGGCAGAGAACGCUCAUGCAGACGCACUGGCAAGCCUAGGAUCAGCGCUGGAUACCCAGUUCAGACGCUCCAUCCCGGUCGAACAUCUUGACCGACCAAGCAUUGAAGAAAUAGAGCUAAUCGAUACCAUGCAGAUUGACGAGGACCCCAGUUGGCAAGACCCCAUCAUCGACUAUUUGACGAAUGGAAACCUGCCAACGGAGAAGUCCAAAGCUAGAAAGGUCCAGCAGAAGGCCGCGAGAUACUACAUGCACGGCAACGAGCUCAUCCGCAGAUCAUACUCCGGCCCUCAUCUCACCUGCAUAAAGUACCCUCCAACACUUGAGGUUCUCUGCAAAAUUCACGACGGCGAGUGUGACAACCACUCUGGGGGCAGGUCACUCGCCCAGAAAGCUCUAAACAUAGGCUACUUCUGGCCUACCAUGCGUCACGACUCCGCUGAAUAUGUCAAGAAGUGUGAUCGCUGUCAGCGAUACAAGCCGAUCCUUAACCUGCCUGCCGAAGUCUAUCAUCCGCAAAAUAGUCCAUGGCCGUUUAUGCAAUGGGCCAUCGACCUAGUGGGUCCCUUGCCACCAGCGCCCGUCAAGAAAGAAAUGAUGAUUGUCGCCAUCGACUACUUUACUAAAUGGAUCGAGGCCGAAGCUCUAUCCUCUACUAAAGAAGCCGAUGUGGAGCGAUUCAUCUGGAAAAACAUCAUCUGCCGGUUUGGCUGCCUACAAAACACAACAUUUGCCCAUAAGCAGCGUCCUUCGGGAGACGCAGGGUACGUCAGGAAUUUCCUAAGGGAGAUAUCCAGGUUCCUAUCCGUUUCCUAAGGGAGGCAGGAUAGUCACACAGUUGCCCAUAAGGAGCGUCCUAAGGGAGACGCAGGGCGACGACUAAAAGCGUCCGUUUGGAGACGCAGCCCGCUAAAAAAGCGUCCUAAGGGAGACGCAGGGUGCGCCAGGAGUUUCUUAAAAGGGGGUCGCCAUGCUUCCUGCGGGAAAUAUCCAGGUUCCUAUCCGUUUCCUAAGGGAAGCAGGAUAGUCACACAGUUGCCCAUAAGGAGCGUCCUAAGGGAGACGCAGGGUGACGACAAAACGCGUCCGUUUGGAGACGUAGCCCGCUAAAAAAGCGUCCUAAGGGAGACGCAGGGUGCGCCAGGAGUUUCUUAAAAGGGGGUCGCCAUGCUUCCUGCGGGAAAUAUCCAGGUUCCUAUCCGUUUCCUAAGGGAGGCAGGAUAAUCAUGUAGUUGCCCAUAAGUAGCGUCCUACGGGAGACGCAGGGCGACGACCAAGGCAUCCUAUGGGAUGUGCAGAAUACACCCGGAGUCUCUCAAGGGGGACCUUGGUACUCGCCAACUUCCUAAGGAAAAUCAUCUUAGAGAUGUGCAGAACACACCCGGAGUCUCUCAAGGGGGACCCUGGUGCUUGCCAACUUCCUAAGGGGAAUCAUCCUACGGGAUGUGCAGAACACACCCGGAGUCUCUCAAGGGGGACCCUGGUACUCGCCAACUUCCUAAGGAAAAUCAUCUUAGAGAUGUGCAGAACACACCCGGAGUCUUUCAAGGGAGACCCUGGUGCUUGCCAACUUCCUAAGGGGAAUCAUCCUACGGGAUGUGCAGAACACACCCGGAGUCUCUCAAGGGGGACCCUGGUGCUUGCCAACUUCCUAAGGGAAAUCAUCCUAUGGGAUGUGCAGAACACACCCGGAGUCUCUCAAGGAGGACCCUGGUGCUUGCCAACUUCCUAAGGGGAAUCAUCCUACGAGAUGUGCAGAACACACCCGGAGUCCCUCAAAGGGGACCCUGGUGCUUGCCAACUUCCUAAGGGAAAUCAUCCUACGGGAUGUGCAGAACACACUCGGAGUCUCUCAAGGGGAACCCUGGUGCUCGCCAACUUCCUAAGGGGAAUUAUCCUACGGGAUAUGCAGUGCAUGCCCGGAGUCCUUCAAGGGGGACCCUGGUACUCACAAAUCUCUAAAGGAGGACGUGCAAUCAAAACAUAGGCUGGUUACUCAAGCAGUUCACAAGUCAAACACCUCCUCUACUCGGGAGCCCAAGUCCACGAAGGAAGCCCAGUUACAGCUGGACAGCCCAACGGAUAAUUUACAUCUCCUACAUGCCACCACGCGCCACGCAGAAGCUGGGGGACAUUUGUGGGAACCUAAUUAAAUCAAAACCCUAGGUCAAAUAAUUAGGUCAAUCAAUUUGGGAAUUAUUUGACCUAAUUAGGAGUUACCUAACCUAAUUGGGAAUUACCUAAUCAAAUUGGGGGUUACUUGAUCCCCCAUUUAAUUAGGGAUUUGGUUAAAUCCAUAAUCCCUAAAUGCACCAACCCCACCAACCACACCAACCUCACCAACUACACCAACCACACCAACCUCUUCAAGGCCAUUAUAAAUACCUGGUUACGCACAAGGAUGAGGUACGCCUAAACUCUUACAAAACUCUACAGAAGUUAUUUCUCAAAAACUCUAGCCACCCCCUCUCUUUCUCUCUCUCACACAAGGCUCCGGCCACCACACACGGCUCCGGCCAUCCGGUUUUCCUUGAAUUACCCUACCUAACUUAGGCAUCGGAGGGCCUUUGGCCAACACCCCUCGGGUGUGGUCCUUUUACUCUGAUCUGUUUUGCAGGGAGAAAGAGAGGCGGAGAAGACGAAGGAAUAUUGAGCGAAUAUUCUCCCGUGAGAUUAUUUGCACAAACAGUUGUAUCAUAAAC